UCCGAGUUGACCCCGAAGGGUCCUUCACCUUUCGGAUCCGUACCACUAGCAUGUCAAGCCCUGGUAAGGUUCUUCGCGUUGCAUCGAAUUAAACCACACGCUCCGCCGCUUGUGCGGGCCCCCGUCAAUUCCUUUGAGUUUUAGCCUUGCGGCCGUACUCCCCAGGCGGGAUGCUUAAUGCGUUAGCUACGGCACAGAGGGGGUCGACACCCCCCACACCUAGCAUCCACCGUUUAGGGCGUGGACUAC
rnacentral:misc_RNA from 1 species